rnacentral:rRNA from 1 species
GUUGAAAAGUCAUGGGAUGAGCUGUGGGUAGGGGUGAAAAGCCAAUCGAACACGGAGAUAGCUGGUUCUCCCCGAAAUAGCUUUAGGGCUAGCCUUAACUUUACGCCCUCGGAGGUAGAGCACUGAAUGGGCUAGGGGCCGAAAAGGUUACCGAACCCUAUCAAACUCCGAAUGCCGAGGAGCGAUAGUUAGGAGUCAGACUGUGGGGGAUAAGCUUCAUAGUCGAAAGGGAAACAGCCCAGACCGUCAGCUAAGGUCCCUAAGUAAACCUAAGUGGGAAAGGAUGUUGUACCGCGAAGACAACCAGGAUGUUGGCUUAGAAGCAGCCAUUCAUUCAAAGAGUGCGUAAUAGCUCACUGGUCGAGUGGUGCUGCGCCGAAAAUGUAACGGGGCUAAAGGUUUACACCGAAGCUGCGGAUGCAAGCAACAGCUUGCGUGGUAGGGGAGCGUUCCUGCAAGGCAGAAGCACAUCCGAAAGGCUGUGUGGACUUACAGGAAGUGAGAAUGCCGGUAUAAGUAGCGAAAGACAGGUGAGAAUCCUGUCCACCGAAUGCCUAAGGUUUCCUGAGGAAGGCUCGUCCGCUCAGGGUAAGCCGGGGCCUAAGCCGAGGCAGUGAAUGCGUAGGCGAUGGACAACUGGUUGAUAUUCCAGUGCCACCUAAGGCCGCUAUGAGCAAUGGGGUGACGCAGGAGGGUAGGCUGAGCACGCCGUUGGUAGAGCGUGCCCAAGCGCAAAGGCAAGCCUGAUAGGCAAAUCCGUCAGGCCAUGGCUGAAGCGUGAUGGGGAGUGAAAUUUAAGUAACGAAGCAGCUGAACCCAUACUGCCAAGAAAAGCCUCUAGCAAGGCCAAGGGUGCCCGUACUGCAAACCGACACAGGUAGGCGAGGAGAGAAUCCUAAGGUGAGCGGGACAACUCUUGUUAAGGAACUCGGCAAACUAACCCCGUAACUUCGGGAGAAGGGGUGCCUGAGUAGCUUUAGGGUAACCUAAGGCGAAAAGGCCGCAGUGAAUGGGCCCAAGCGACUGUUUAGCAAAAACACAGGUCUCUGCUAAGGAGAAAUCCGAUGUAUAGGGGCUGACGCCUGCCCGGUGCUGGAAGGUUAAGGGGAACGCUUAGCCGCAAGGCGAAGGUGUGAACCGAAGCCCCAGUGAACGGCGGCCGUAACUAUAACGGUCCUAAGGUAGCGAAAUUCCUUGUCGGGUAAGUUCCGACCCGCACGAAU